UGGGGAAUAUUGCGCAAUGGGGGAAACCCUGACGCAGCGACGCCGUGUGAGGGAAGAAGGCCUUCGGGUCGUAAACCUCUGUCGGGGGGGAAGAACCGCCGGUUUCCGAACAGGGAGCCGGACUGACGGUACCUCCGAAGGAAGCGCCGGCUAACUCCGUGCCAGCAGCCGCGGUAAUACGGAGGGCGCGAGCGUUAAUCGGAAUCACUGGGCGUAAAGCGCGCGUAGGCGGCCAGAUAAGUCGGGCGUGAAAGCCCUCGGCUCAACCGGGGAACUGCGUUCGAUACUGUUUGGCUUGAGUCCUGGAGAGGGUGGCGGAAUUCCGGGUGUAGGAGUGAAAUCCGUAGAUAUCCGGAGGAACACCGGUGGCGAAGGCGGCCACCUGGACAGGUACUGACGCUGAGGUGCGAAAGCGUGGGGAGCAAACAG
rnacentral:rRNA from 1 species